rnacentral:rRNA from 1 species
UACGGAGGGUGCAAGCGUUGCUCGGAAUCACUGGGCGUAAAGCGUCCGCAGGCGGGAAUGUAAGUUGGGUGUGAAAGCCCGGGGCUCAACCCCGGAACUGCACUCAAAACUGCAUUUCUUGAGUACGGGAGAGGGGGGCGGAAUUCCUGGUGUAGAGGUGAAAUUCGUAGAUAUCAGGAGGAACAUCCGUGGCGAAAGCGGCUCCCUGGCCCGAUACUGACGCUCAUGGACGAAAGCGUGGGGAGCAAACAGG